GUCACUUGUCUGAGAUGGUAUAGUUCUCCUCUUGAACAGAAGACUUCCAAGGUUCCUUCCAGCUCUAUUCUAUUCCCAAAUUCUGUCAUUUUUCUUAAUGUCCCUAUCUCAUUUUUGAGAUCAGUUUUUAUUCUUCCAGCAAUUUGAAAAUAAAUCACCCAUGAUAUAUUCCAGCCUUUGCUGAUCCUUAUUGUAUGUGUAAUCUAUUCAUAAGGUCUGGGCGGACCAUGUUUGCAUAUGUAAUUACAUUUUCCUUACCAUAAUUGUCUCCAACAUGAAAAGCAUUUAGGAGAGAGCCUAAUGGGGAAAUGGUUGGGUUUAUUAUUUUCCACAUGGUGUUCCAUACUUUUAUUAAGCUUUGUCUUAUAAUGUGUCCUUUUAGGUUUUUAUUCUCUUUUAGGUCCCUGUGACAUAAGUAUGUAUGAAGCCCAUUAGCUAGAUCAAUUCCUUCCAAUACUGUACUGAUAUUUUGCUGUUUGGAGAUUUUAUCUACUCUGUGGAACACGACAAAGAGCUUGUCUGUAACACAGUUUGAAAACUGGAAGGACAAAGCAACCUCUUUCUUUGGAGUGGUGUUAAAUUUUAAAUUUGUCUCUAGGUUUUUCCCCACUCUCUAUAUAUUCGCUAAUAGUUUCUUGUUGUUCAUGUAAGGUCUUUUUCUGAAAUUAGGGUCAUUUGAAAUAGAUACUUCAUCUUGGGUAAUGCAAUCAUUUUGAUAAUUACAAUUGAUCCCUGACAGCCAAUUUUUUUCUGCAAGAAAUCUUUUCUUUAUGUUAAAUGUUUAGUUAUUUUUGUUUGUGUAUUAAUUUUGUAUUCAGAGAACUUUCUGAAGCUAUUAUUUUCCUUGUUAGCCACCCUCAGGGAUUUAAAGACUUGGAUAUUCCUGUAGGCAUUUGGGCUGGAAAGCUUGUUUAGUUACGAUAUUAUUAACUAGAAGUGUAAUUUUUGACACUGCUUCUUAUUGUUUCUGAUAAACUGUAUUAUUCACUUUAAUGGUUUUUAACCCUCUAUGUGAUACAGUCAGUUUAGUAAGAAGGAUGGCUAUAUACUUUUUUCUUAAUCAACCUAGGAAGCAGCAUUUUUCAUUAUAUCUAGCACAGGGAUAAUUUGAACUGUUUACUGAAAAGCCUAAAUUAAAAAGAUAAAAACAAUGCACAUGACUUUAUUAAAUGUAAAAUAAAUACAGUGCCAAGUUUAAAUCUAUUUGCAAAAUUGGGAAUUAACAGUACUGCAUACACAAACAUUCCCCACAAACCAAAGACAGCACUUUUCAUAUAUGUAACCCUCCAAUACACAUAAACAGAAACACAGCUUUGCAGCAACAGCUAAAGCUGGAUGCUGACAUUACCAUCAAAGAUGGUAGCCCCUGACAGGCCACAGCCAGAAUGUCUCCAUCCCAAGCCCAGGUUUAAUUGUGCCUGUUCCCUUUAAUUUCUGUAUGUAGGAGAAAAACAGGUGUAGUAAGAACAUGCAGAACUAUCAUCAUCAUGUCACAACCCUUAGAAGAUCCUGAUAUAAUGAGCCACAUCUUUUUCCAACUUGUCUUUAAACAUCUUUCUCCAACUUGUCUUUAAACAUCUUUUUAUGCCUCCAAGGACUUUUGAAGUGCUCGGACCCAAGCCUAUUAUUUAGAUCAGUGUUUCUCAGCCUCAGCAACUCUAUGAUGUGUGGACUUCAAUUCUGAGAAUUCCCCAGCUAGAUUUACAUGUAAUCUUGAGAUGGCCAAUUACUUAGGUAUAGCUCAGCAAUUUUCUUCUCAUCUUGGCAUAGAGAAGCCACCUCAAGAUUACUAAGGCUGUUUAUUAGCUUUACUUUAUUAUUGUCAUUAAUAGAUGCUUUUUACCAAUACAGGAGAAUGCAUAUUAUAUCAUCAAGACAAAAUCGGUGUAAAUUCAGUGUGGUUUAUUUCUAUCCAAAUAUGCAUUAGAGUUAUAAGAUAAAAUAUUAUAAGAUUGUAUGCAUAUUUGAUUGGAAAGGUGCUGUUGUAUUCAAUAGAGCCUAUUUUCUUGCAAGUUCAGGGAAUUUAUUUAUUAAUCUGUGAUAAAUUUUAUAUUCAUCCAAAUGGUAAACCUUGAAUAUCUGAAAUCUUAAUCUCAACUUUAUGUUUUCUAAAAACUCUUUCAUGAAAGAUCACAAAGUUGGAAUUGAUUGAUUGACCUUCCCCUCUCCCCCAAAAAAAACUUCCUUUGUUUUCUUGCACGAGGCGGCAGUGGAUUGCAUAGGAGCAAUGGCACGGGGCUGGAACUCAGGUAAGGAAAGAAAGGCAAUUUCUGGGGUGAGUGAGGAUUUUUUUCCUUACCUGCCCCACUUGUUCCAAGGCAACUUUCCACUCAGACGCAUUGCUCUUGCCAAUGGCCCGAUCUCCCACUUCAGUGUCCUCCCUCCCCGAGCCUCCAGCAUUCUACCUGCUGCUUUGGUGGCUCUCUAGGCAGAACUGCCCCACUUGUUCCAUGGCUGCUUUUGGCAGAGCCACAUUGCAGCAGCAUUGGGCGCAAUACACAAGCAGCAAACAGCUGCAUCAUGCCGAAACCUGCCCAACACCAGUUCCUUAUCUCUGCCCAGCUUGUUCCGCAGCCUCAUGGCAGCCGCAUUGGGUACAAUGCGCGAGGCGGCAAACAGCCAUGUCACGGCAAAACCAAGGGGCCAGCAGGAUGUGGUUGCUGAUGGACACAGUCGGCCCCCAUGCGCUCGCUGUGUGCGGAGGCCGAGGUGUCAGGCAGCAGCUGCCUCAGCCCCUGCCUCGCCUUGCUUUGUCCUGUGGCAAUGGCACCUCUGCCCUGCUCCCUGCCUUGCCUCACCUCACCCGCAAGAUGAGCUCCUGCCCACUGUACCACCCGUCAGAGACCCCCUGGAUCUCCCCCAAACCUGCCUGGUCCCCACAGGCAUCUCUCCCCACGAGCAACAUUGAGGUGGCCAUGCCCACCCCAGCCAUGCCCACCCAGUCUGCCGUGAUCCCUGCAGCCACUCCCACCAAAUGGGCCACACCCACCUAAUGGGUCACACCCACUUGGCACCUAAUGAUACAUAAGUGGGUUUGGGUUACAGUUUGGGCAGUCGGUCUCUAAAAGGUUCGCCAUCACUGUUCUAGAAUGUAUCCAGUAGUGCUUUCUCUAUUAGUAGCGUCUUCUCCAGUGAAAACUAGGAUAGUAGGUAAUGCAAUCUUCUGAAGCAGAACUAUAUUAUUGCAGGCUUUUAACAGUGUGCCAGAAGUCUGCUACAUAACUCAGACUGCAUAUUCUAUAUCUAGAGGCAUGGUUCUUAAAAAAAAAAAGGAUUGCCAAGGAAGUGUUUGCACUUGAUAGGGCAAUUAUCCCAAAACUAAGCUUCCUGAAUUCUUUAUCAGAUACCAACCCACAUAAUUCACAGUCCUGCCAACUGUAGACAAUGGAGUUGUAGUCAAGGCAAUCUGAAGGGCAUCAGGUUUGAGAAGACAGCCUAAUCCAAGAAGCUAUAGGUAAGUUAAUAUGCAGCAGUGAGCCUGGUAGUCUAGGGUACAAAGUCCAAGGUGCAAAACCUACUGAGCCAUGAACUUCAUCAGAUAAGCCUAAACCAAUAACUUUGUUCAGGUUAACCUACACCAUAAGGGUGUUGUAGGUAUAUCAUGGUGUGGAGCUACAAAUGGUGUCUAUCUUACAAUAAACUUAAAUGAAAGUAACAUGCCUACUGAGCAGUAAUUUUCACAACAAUCUCUCACCUAGUAAUGGGAUAGUUACUAGAUAUGGAUAAACAUUUUGAUACUAAGACCUGCCUAGACUAAAAUGUAGAAGUGACAGGUUAAUGGCUCUCAUGAAUUAAUUAACUUGACUGGUGGACCUCAAAAAGUCAUUGGGAUAAAGAGAAAUGAGAAACUUUCUUGAGUGCAAAUAAAACAGGUGCUUCUGACACCACCUGGUAGCUAUUGUGUCACCUCCUCUGGAGACUCUUGUCAUUGUUAAGAUGAAUAACUGUAAUCGUCAGUUUUCAUUACUGGCUCUUGGAUAUCCCUACAGCACCUUUCUCUUCAAACACAUCCUCGUGGUCAGAUGUGGCCAAAGCAAGCAAAACAAUCAGAUUCCUCUCCCUGUCUGGCACUGCAUUCCUUAGCUGAUUAUCAUUAUCAAAAGCUACACGAAGGAGGGCGGGCAUGUCAAGUGGCUGGAGUCAGGAAGAGGGCGUUCAGCAAGCAGCCAACCUGCUUGGCUGCCCAAGGAGUGUUAGUAAAUUUGCUUCUUAGCAAUAGGCACUGGAUGACAACAGAGCUGGAGGAGGAAGGAAGCUAGAGGAGGAGGCACCAGCAGCAACAACUCUCCUGUGAUUUUUUUAAAAAUUCAAAACUGUGUCUUUGCUGUUCCUUUAAUUGGUGUUGUGAUGAUUCAAAACCAAGCCAGUCAAGUCACAUAGCUUGCUGCCAAAGGGUGGGCUCAAAACACCCACAUGCAGCUGGGUGAGGCAAGUGACUGCUACUCUGUUUCCUUAUCUUGAGAGCAACUUGAGAUAAAGGCCUGAUGCACUGUUUGUUCUGGCUCAAUGUGGAGGCCACCUUCCCAAAGGAAGUUUUACUGCCUUUGCAGGCGCCAGACAACACUGAUUGCAGUUCUCUCUUCAUUGCUCUGGGAUAAAGACAGAUGAACAUAAAGCAAGGACUUUUUCACUCACUGUCUGGUUGCAAGGGUCUGAAUGAAGCAGAACCAAUCCAGGUCAAGCUCAAGGUAAAGUGAGCAGCAUCCCUCCGUAGUUUGAGUACAAGAUCUCGUUGUUAAAUUCCUGCUAUCAAGACUGACGACUUAAAGGUGGAAACUGGAAAAAGACAGUUGGGAACUUUCACCGAAGAACUUAA